CUGACCUCAAGAUCCGCCCGCCUCAGCCUCCCAAAGUGCUGGGAUUACAGGCAUACCCCCUUCUAUGAGGUACUGCCCAGCCCGGCGAGCAAGCGUGCCCACUGCUCAUCAAGGCGGAAGGCAGGACUCAUCAGCUUGUAGUCAAUGCAGUGCCUGCAACAAAGCUGCUCCAAUCCAGAACGCACCCCGGGGAGAAAUAUGUCUGAAGUCAUCAUAGCUGUCUCGUCUGCAAAGUGACUUCCCGAAGGGUUACCUGACCUCGGCUCUACUGCAAAGGAAUCAUCACUGUGGGGUCCAGAACCUCAGGUGGGUGUCAGGGCCAUCCGUGGGCACUGCAGGAGUACUCUUCCAUGGACAGAGUUCACAUGUCACCCUCGCUGCAGGAAAGUGUCACCUACGGGUGCAGACAUCCAUGGAAGUGACAUAUCUGCUGCCUACUUUGGUGCAAGGAAGCACGUAGGGCGACACAGAGGCCUCCACGCAGCCUGGUGUCUGUCAUCUUGCCGGCUGUGCUGUGUUUGGGCCUGGCCCUCUUUUGGACCUGCCUGAAGGUCAGCCACCCUGUCCAGAGCUUCUCCUGAGCCCCCCGAGGACUCACAGACUGUGCCUGGCCCCCUCAAGGGAGCAGGGAGCCAGCAGCUGCCAUCCUUUCUGGGUAGAGGUGGGAAGGAGCCGGGCUGUGUUUGGGUCUGGGGUAGGCAGAGCCUCUGCUGGCCAGUGACUCCCUCAAGGCUGCUGUGUUUACAGAGAAGCAAACCAGGUGUUGCUCCUAACACUGGGUCCCACAAGAAGACAGUUCUAACCUCGUCCUUCCCAUACACUCCCUGAGAGCCAUUCCUGUCCCUUCCACAUUUCAGAGCACGACGGGUGGGCACCCCUGGGCCUGCCUCAGCUCCCUCAGGCUCUUCUCCCUACGUCCUGGUGUGGGGGUGGUGACAGCCGUGGCUCUGCAGACCACAGGAUCUGGCCUAUAUGUGACCAUUUAACAGAGUACAUGUCCCUAGGCCUGUAUUUCCCUUAAUUCCUCCCUCGAGCCCCCUAGCUCCCAACUGUAGUAUUUAACUGGGCUGGGGCUAGGUAGGGUUGCUCUGUCCUGGGGGUGGCCAGGGACUCAUCCAGUGCUUAUAAAUAAAUAAGGCCACAACUCAAAGAAAAAAAAAUAGACAUUAGGACAGCUGGGGUCUAAAAUGAGGUGGAAGUGAUGCAUCAGUGUACUUUUCCCGAUGUCCUGGGUGGCAUUAUGUGGGAGAACGCCCUUGUUUGCACGACACACACACUUAGUUGGGGCAGUACGGAAUCCCCUUGUCCAAUGAUUGUCAAAUGCCUCAAGGGGAACACUUUGUAUUGCUUGCAACUUUUCCUGUGGGUUCUAAACAGUAUCACAGUUUUGGAAA